rnacentral:lncRNA from 1 species
AGCCACCUUGUCGUGUGUAUUUGUAACAAGACUUUGGAUUAAAUGGGGCUGCUAAGAGGGGGGAAAUAUGAAGGAAUGAAGGGACAGCAUUGGAACGGUCAGUCGGCAGUGGUUCUCAGGCAGCCUUAGGCACCACCUGCUCCAAGUCAGUGUUGAGUCUGCGUGCUGGGAUCCAGCCCACUCCUCAUCUUCCAUGCCAGGGCCCCCAGGCAGCCAGCACCAGCCCAAAGGCCACAGGGCUGGGGAAAGCUGAUGUCCUGUUAGGAUGGCUCCCAGGGACCUCUGACUCAAGGAAGGGUGACCUUUUGUUUCCUACUCUGCUGAGAAAUCACUUGAUUCUUCCUCAAAUGAAUCACCUUCCUGAACCCCAGAUUCUUCUCCAGGAAUAUGGGGGCCAUCUUGUUAUGGGGACUAUCUUGUUUUCCAGUUUCCUGCCUACCCUAAAUACUUUGAGGCUGAAUUGCAGAUUUUCAGUCAUUUUACCUUCUCAGGUAAAAGCCAUGAAAGAAACAAGCCUACUCCACCAGCCAAAGCACUUGCCCAUUUGCUGGCUUCAUGAACCGCAGGUGGGAGGUGUUUGUGUUAAAAAACAGCAUGCACACGCGUGCGCGCACACAUGCACACACACACCCCUCUAUUUUAGGGAUGUGUGCUAAUUUUCUAAAUGCCUGCAAAGAGUUCUAAAAUGAUUCUGAGCAGAUUCGUCUAGGAUUUGAAAAUACUUGAAUUUGCACCAGAACACACCCUUCCACCCAUGUUUCAGAAGGCACUAAUUGUCGCUUUGGGCGCCUCAGUGUCAUAACUGUAGACAUCAUUCUUGGGAGUUGUUGGGGGGAAAAAUCCUAGCUACUUAAGGUUUCUGAUUGAUUCUUGAUAAAGUGAAGAUUAUUGUGUGUGGUGAAUGAGUUCAGUGAGUCCCCAUGAUGCAGUAGUUUUUUUAAAAAAUUAGAGAGUAAUUAUAUCUUUUAUGGAAAAAAGUUGUUUUAGUUUGUCAGGUUUUCCCUCUUUGAACUGUUUUUAAUGUUUACAAACCUCACUUUAGCUCUAACAUUUUGUGUUUAGCCCUCACCAAAAAGCACUUACUGUGGCAGGAAGAUUUUGCAGUAACAUGGAGAAAUCCCCAAGAUCAAGUGCUGACAAAUGUUGACAGCUUUAGCAGCGUACUGUGUAAUAAAUAACUCCGAGGGGGCGGCGGGGGGUCUGUGCAAGAAAGCGUCACCUUAUGGACAUGUGGCGUCUCAUUCCCCAGAAAAGGACAGCAUCUGAGCUCACAGUGUUGAUCAGGCAACACUGCUGGGCUGGGGGUCGGAGUUGGGGUUAGCUUCCUGCACCAACACCUUCAGUACGAUCUGAGUUGGGAGCAGUGUCCCAGGCUAUGUGGCUGAGCACCACGUCUGCCUCAGGGGCUGACCCUGCUAGCCUGUUAACAACUCGUCUCCCCUCUGCUCCCACAGAGAGGGCAGCCAGGCCAGCUCACAGCUGGGUGUGCUGCCUGUCAGGUCUGUUGAGUGUGUUUGCAAAGUCAAAAUUGGGCUUAUCUCUCUUUGAGAGUUCCUUUUAAAAUAGGGCCACAAAGGCUCAGCCUUGCAUUAAAUGGGGCCCACUUGGAAGGACCAUCCUGAGCUUUAUCAGAAAUCUCCUGCUGGGAAUCAUGUUACUUGGCCCCCAAAAAAGGCCAUCUUUGAAGUGAGAUUGAAAACAAGAACACCAUUCAGGUGGGCUUGUUGCCCAAGUUUUCCCAGCUCACUUCAGUAAAACCACUUGAUCAUCUGGUGAAAGAGGGGGGCAGGUGGUUGGCCUCCUGAGGAUAUGUUGUCAGCUGCAAGAAAUAGUUCUGAAGUCACUGAAACUAAAUGCAGAUGAAUGACCAAAAAGGAUGACACGCCAGAGAGUGACUUAGGAGUUAAUUUGCAUCUUCGUGAUAGACUCUUCAGAAUUAUUUAUGUCCCUGUAACUAUUUAAUAUCCUUUGUGCCGUGAGGCUCCUCGGUGGUUUUGUAAAUGUUCUCCUUGUAUUUAAUUAACUCCCACUAGAACCGGAAGUGGUGCUAUGGACGCUUUCUAGUUGAUGUAAUGUGUGGUUGCACAUGUCAUCAUGUAUAGACCACGUGGUGACGAAAGUUCUGGAGGGAAUAGGGUUAUCCAAGGUGAAUAUGAAGACGCCUAUAUUUUUCUUAUAUUGCCUCUAUAUGCAAACAGAAGACAAUCGAUAUCUGGGGGCCUUAAAAUGACCUCUUGGCAAAUUGAAGGAAGCGUUUUUGCGUUUAAUAGUUUCAAUAGGGACCAAUAUCAGUUUGGUUUGGGGCAUUUGAAGGCUGAGCGACCUUAGUUUUUCUCAGUGUUCUGGUGGGACGAUAUUGGUUUUCACAUUUAAAGCAAAACUUGAAGAAACUGCAGUUGCUGUGUGCAUUUGGGUUUUUUCCUGGACACUGUACAGCUGAAACCCUCAAGCAUUUGGUGGAACCUCUGGUGGUUUUAGAUGGAUGCAAACACUGAUGUCCUCAGAGAAAGUUUAUUUUGGCACUGAUUGGGUGGAUUUGGUAUUUUUUCCCUCUGAUUCUCUUUGAUAUCCUUCUUUCACACUGCUGAAGGCAUGGGAGGGAAAUAUGUUUUCCCUGCCUUAAAGAGGGAUUACAGUCAUGAAAGGCUGGAGAUACUUGUUGGCCCCACAUAAAGCUGGGAAGAACAGAUGCAGUUUCAGAUUAAAAUCUCGUCAGAGAAGUUUGAUUUGAAGUAAACAGCCAUCCGAGGGAGGUGACUUUUGUCUACAGAAAAAGCAAGAAUGUGGCAGCCUGCACAGCCCCAAUACACAUCUUCCUUGGCAAUGUGAGCUGAAGCCAGCAUGGGCAAGUCCGGCCCAGCUCUGAGCGCUUGGCCCUGGGAAGCCAGCGGCACCCCCAGCCCUUCGGGCCCUGUUACUGUCCCCUGGCAGGAAGGCUCACGCCUGUGGGCAGCCAGGGAAUGUGUCUGACCUCCACCCUAUGUCGGGUGCUUCUGGGACAGCUUCGUGACUCAGUUGAAAACAUUCUGACUCUCUUCAAGUUUGCAGUUACAUCUGUGGUUCUUGGAAGCUGUCCUAGUGAGUCAGCCUUGGGUUAAGCCUGAGGAGACCAAGCUCCAACACCUUUGUGCACUCAUGUACGUGAAUUCUUGCUUGCAGUGAAUGAGACCUGAACAACCCUAGUGGGUGCCAUGUCCUGCGUGUGGCCCAGGCGUACCUUUUCUUGUAGAUUCACAUGAGAAACCCGUCACCUAUCCAUGUGCUCUGAGAGGUGGACUGAGGUCUAAUCCCUUUCUGUGCCAGAUUUUCUGUGGGUUGGUCUUAGCACCUAGGAGAUGAAUAGAGCAUGGAGACACCUGAACAAUUUAGUGAUUCUGCAAGGCAGUGAUGAUUUAAGGGUUCCUAUUGUCUCAUCUGUGUUCAAAACAAAACAGUCAUGAAGUCUUUGUGCCACUGCCUGACUGUCAUCUUCUCCAGAUCUUGUUUACAGAGUAAUAAUGACGUUAAACAGGUAUCAGAAAGGGGAAAAAGUUUCUAGGCCAAGAGCUGCUGGUGGAUUCUCUUGAGCAGAAUAACAAGUUGCUUCCUGCUCCAGGGACUGCCAUUAGCUUGUGAAGUCUCUAGGUGCCUUGUUAUUUCCUAGUGAAGUUGCAGAAUCCAGGGUUUUUUCCAGGUUUGUCUUAUUUUAUCAGCACCCACGUCCAGGCCCAACAGCUUGGUAGGCUGGUGAGGUCCACACACGGCCAGGUCUGGGAGAUAAGGGAGGAAGCAGUGGCCUGGAACACCCCACCUGUCUGCUAUCAGCACUAGACAGCUCAGGCUGUCUUGGAAACGUGUACUUUGUUAACUGCCUUCCUGUCCUCUUGUCUUUGAAAGCUGUCUCGCGUUCCACAGUCAGCUUGAGGGCAAGAGUGGGAUGCUGGGGACAGGUCUUUCCCGUCCUGUGGGUGAGCUCCUGGCAUCUGGCUCAGGAACAUGUGGGUCCAGCAGGUGACUCUGAAGCUGGCUUGGCUGCCAUCUCAGACAGGACGCAGGCCUGACACCCUCAGCUUUUAGCUUUGUAAACUUCCCUGGCGCUUUGUAGAAUCUUGUGUUUCUUCUCUUCUCAGCAGAUAUCAUUCAAGUCACAAGAACUGUCUGGUUGAGAAAGUAAUUUAAAAUAUUUGACCUUUUAUGUUUCUUUUAUUUAGAAACUGUGAGAGAAAAUACCGUCAAUAUCUGUUAGGUCUAGAAAAAUUUUCUUCCGAAAGUGAAUGUUCUGUUUAAUUCUUCUUCAUGCAAGUGAGUGGCAUUUUGUACACUCUUUAGCUUGAAGCGGAGUGGGUCCUAUUGUAUUUUCCCUUCUUUUGUCUGGAAUAUAUUCUUUUUCCAUUUGGAUACAGUUUUUCAACCUUUGGGAUUUUUUUUUCCUUUCUAGUUUUUCCUACUCCACAAACGUAACAGUAAGGAAAAAAUCACCCACAAACCUGCUGAGUUUGAAUCACUGGCAACUUGCCUAGAAAAGUUCAGAUGAUGGGUCCUUGAACUGUGUAUCUAUUUCAUAGGGUAAGUUUGUUGUCUAUGUUUGUUUUUUUAUGCUGAGGCUUUAAUUCAGGUGACUUGCUAUCUAGACACCUGGGGUGGCGUGUUUUCUUUGGGAUGCAUAAUACACAAAGGCCAGGGAGCCUUUGGCUUGGACCCCCAGGGAGCUAUUGAAACUUUUAAAGUUUGAGUUUAGGAGUAAGAACAUAUCUCAGACCACCUUAGUCAGCUUUGCUGAUGGGAUUUAGGGCCAGGUCAGAGUUUCUUUUCAUAACUGCCUGAAAAGAGAGAUGGUGUGAAACAAGAUUCUGAUAAUGGUUUGUGUGAGAUUUGAUCAUAGUCUAAAACUAUCACGUCUGAGUUGCCUUAGGAUGACAGUGCUGACACCCAGUAGGAAGUAUCCCAUUUUUAUCAGGAAAGUCAGUCACGCGUAGGGAUGGUGAGGAGACGCGUAGGGAUGGUGAGGAGGGGAGAGGAGGGAGACCUGCUGGUGCCCUUGCACCAGGGUGAGGCCUGACUCACGCUGCUUCCCCCCACAGGCCCUGCUUUGCUUGCCUGCUUUUUCCAGAAUCGAUUUUGCAAGCUUCAAGAUUCUGUUCCCCUCUUCGCAGAAGUGAGGAAGGCAAAUACUCAGGGUUUGAAGGGAGACCUGGCCGGCCUGAGGGCUGGCAGAUGUGAGGGCAGGACACCUGGGAUGGACUCGUAGGCUGACCCAGGCCCAAAGGGGGCUGCCUGUUCCCAACUCUUUCACUCUGUAACCCAUUUUAAAAUGAGUUUUUGAAUCUUGCCUCAAAUUGACCUACUUGGAUAAAAUCAGUGCUUUUCCUAACUUGAUUUUGUUUGACGUGGUUCCCUCUAAGAGAAUGGUAGGAAUUGAAACUAUUUGUAUAUGUUGAAAUUUGUAGGGGUUCAGGAACCCAUGGCAGAAACACUAAACUAUUUAUUUACAAGUAUGACUAUUUUUUUUUCAAAGUAGGCAAUUCUUUGUAUAUUUUAAGGCAAAUAAUCACUUCACCUCUGGUGCCUUCCAUGCGUCGCAUAAGCACUCUUGUCAAUCAUGGAAUUGGAAAAAAAGAUGUACAUUUAGUUAAACAAGAUAACACUAUUUUUGUAGCAUGAUUUUAGAUUGUGUCCUUUUAAUAUUGUUUUCAACAAUGGUAGUUUUGAGGUUUUGGCCAUUUUCUCUUUACACUUCGUAUGUAUUUUAAAGAAGAAAAAAAACAAAAAAAAUUCCCUGGCUAUUCCUCUUUCCUCUCUGCUGCUGCUUCUCCUGCAUCUUGUUCCUGCUUAUUUAAAUAGUCUGAGAGUAAGAGUAUAUUUCUGUGAAAUAAUUAUAAGUCAGUAUAAUUGCAUUUGGCAUUUUUUAACCACUUGCUCAGUUUGGAGCCACUGCUCACCUCAAACAGUACAAAGAAAGUGGUUCCAUAUUUUACAAACAGAAGAGUAGCAUCAGAGCCCUGACCUCCUGUCUUUGGGUGUAAAAUGGUGAGAGGCCGGUGUCCGGCUCCUUCCCCUGUGGUUUGGGCUGGUGAACUGAGCCCAAGUGUAUUCUCUGGCCUGGGCCCCUUCCAGAAUCAGUGCGAGCGUCCUGCAGAGGCAUGGCCUUCCUGCCACUGCAGAGUGGGAAGCUUCCUGGGGGACCUCAGCCAGCUCCGGGGCUCUCAUCUUCCACUCGGAUCUCAGAUUGGUUCGUUGUGGAUGCUCUGGCUAGGCUCGGCGGCCUUUUCCAGGCUUCAGGCCUGAACAAAACAGGCUGUUUGCUGUGAGGAGCUAGAUGACACCAAGACACAGACACGUACUCUUCACCGGCUCCUUUUGCUUCUCCUUCCUGCAGGACGUGAGUUAUGUCUGGUCCCAAAACCCUUGAGUAAACUAGCUGAGCCAUUGCAAAUGAAGGUACAGAUGGAUUGAAACAUAAAAUUGUAGCUUUUGGUGUCCUUCUGAAGGGUCAGAAUAUGUAAUUAUUUGAUAACCAAGGAAGUCAAGUCAGAUGGCUAAGUAGUAACUUUCCAAUAUGAUUUCUCCGUGGUACUUCACCUGGUGGCACUUUUGGGGGGCAAUGUUAACAACUAUCACAUUUUACUCAUCAAGUCUCUUUCAUUUCGGCAGUUUAAAGACACAACUGUGGGCUUUCUGAGGCGAUGCCCGUUGGGCAAACUUAGGUUUAUGUGUUUGGUUUUUCAGCUGACGUGGAAGCCCUGGGUGGGCGUCCCCUGGCUGGCCUGGCUUUUGGGUUCAAGUCUGUAUGUAUGGAGUGGGUUGGGGCCCCAAAGCUUUGCUGCUAUUGAUUUGUCCCCGACAGCAGGCAAAGCCUCACAUUGCCCUCAAUUUUCCCCCUUUCAUUUGAAGGACCAGUUUUUCAUGGUACUUGUCUUGAUCUUUUUCAUAGUGUUCAAAUCUGUAUUUUUGUAUGUAGAGGGAAAUAAUUUUCUCAACACUAAUCGUUAAUAACUAUUGUAUUAAAUUGUCAUGAAGGAACUUGUUUAAUAAAUGGACGUGUAAGGA